UCCCUUGUGGCUCAGCUGGUAAAGUAUCUGCCUGGAAUGCAGGAGACCUGGGUUCAAUCCCUGGGUUGGAA
rnacentral:tRNA from 1 species